rnacentral:tRNA from 1 species
AAGUAUGAAGCGAUUUAUUGCAAUUAGUUUCGACCUAGUCUUAGAUAUAAAUAUCCUUACUUU